GCCACUCAGCUCCGCCCCUCGCCCCGUCCCCCCGAGGGAGGGCCGCCUCCUGAUUGGCCGCUCGAGCGCCAGGCAGGAUGGGAUUGGAAGCCAAAUAUGGGCGGGAGAAGAGGGGCCAGGCGCUGGGCCUCCGGGAGGGAGACGCAACCCGGGGGCUGGGAAAGGCCCGAGAGUGUUGUUUUGGAUUCCUAACGAAUUUCCAGUGAAAGAGAAAUGGAGAGACAAGACAUUUUCAGAUCAUGUCAAAUCUUGUACAUUAAAAUAAGCAGAAUGAACAAGACUGCCACCUGCUGGGAACACCUGAACUGCCUGAUGUGCAAAUUGAGGAGCAAGUUUUCUGGACUUCCAAUCACCUGAGACCUACAGGUUAAAAAUGAAGAUUCAUAGGCUCCAGACCUAUUGGAUUAGAAUCUCUGCAGGUACAGCUCAAGAAUAAGCAUUUUCAGGGGCACCUGGGGGGCGAAGUUGGCUAAGUGUCCAACUUCAGCUCAGAUCAUGAUCUCACCAUUUGUGGGUUCAAGCCCAGUCGGGCUCUGUGCUGACAGCUCAGAGCCUGGAACCUGUUUCAGAUUCUGUGUCUCCCUCUCGCUGACCCUCCCCUGUUCAUGCUCUGUCUCUCUCUGUCUCAAAAAUAAAUAAAAACGUUAAAAAAAAAAAAAAGAAUGG
rnacentral:lncRNA from 1 species